AAAGUCGUAACAAGGUUUCCGUAGGUGAACCUGCGGAAGGAUCAUUAAUGAAUCGAUAGGACGCUCUUUUUAGAGGUCCGACCCCUUCAUUUUCUUACACUGUGCACACACUUCUUUUCACACAUUUUAACACAUCAGUAUAAGAAUGUAUCAGUCUCUUAAUUGAGCAUAAAAUAAAUAAAACUUUCAGCAACGGAUCUCUUGGCUCUC
rnacentral:misc_RNA from 1 species